GUUAUUUGUUAUGUUUCUUUGUCUUGAAAUGCCAAACGACUUUACUUGUUAAGGGGAGAGUGUUGGUAUGACUUUACAGUAUAUUCGUAUUCAACAUACUUAUUUAAUAUAUGCACCAUUUGUACCCUUUUAUAGUUAACCCUCAGAUGUAUAAUGGCUUCCCUUCUACAUGCACUGGGAAACCGGCAGACCCACCAAAUCAAGACAGGCAAGAAAGGAGACCGGCAGACCCACCAAAACAAGACAGGCAAGCAUGUAAGUUUACUGAUAUUUUUCUUAAGUUAACACAUUGCGCCCUGAUGCGCCCUGCUUUAUUAUUUUCCCCGAGCCGACGGCGCGAAGCGCCGUGCGAGGGUACUAAUUCCCCCCGGCUAUUUACACCCGGGGAAGGGAAGCAUUAGCGAAGUCUAAAGUUCAUCAAAUAUCGCGGGCGUGGGUCACUGUGCGUGUUUCGGUGGGUGGUCAUCCUCACUGAUCUCAUAAUAUAGCGGACUGUAAUGAAUAGCCAACGCUGAUUGGUCCAAUUUAAAAUUGGCAUUAUAACGGCUGCAUGACGAUUGACGACAGCGAAAUUGAUUUGAUGAUUUCUUGCAAAUAUAUUUCAUUUUUGCAAGAUUUUGUAAAUUGCAAAGGAUUUUUGAUGAAAUAAAGGCAAGAGGAUUGCUAAAAGAAGGAAGUAAAGGUGCCGGCGUUAAUGAAGGUACGUUUGUUUUAAAUAUUGAUGCAUUGUUUGCUUUUAAUAUACUGUAAUCUCGAUCGGCUGUAAUUACUUUAAAAGCCGAUCGUUGCGUAUAUAAAAUAUGAAACAAGACAGCGUAUUAUUUCAGUGUUUCUUUAUUGAUUACACUUUUUCUUAUGCUAAGCAAAGUUAUUUACAUGGGAGAAUUUGGAAUCAUUUUAUUUCGAACUCAAAGUUUAUCGAUAAAGGCAGUUUAGUUCUAUAUUAAAAGAACACUUUCAAACGUUUUGCGAAGCGUUUGUGAUUGAAUGUUACCUUAAAUUCAAGCUUAUAUUACGUAUAAUAACAUACCUACUGUAAUUACUUUAAAAGCCGAUCGUUGUGUAUAAAUAUGAAUUAAACAAGACAGCGUAUUAUUUCAGUGUUUCUUUAUUGAUUACACUUUUUAUUAUACUAAGCAAAGUUAUUUGCAUGGGAGAAUUUGGAAUCAUUUUAUUUCGAACUCAAAGUUUAUCGAUAAAGGCACAUUUAAGGCAGUUUAGUUCUAUAGUAAAAGAACAUUUUAAAACGUUUUGCGAAGCGUUUGUGGUUGAAUUUUACCUUAAAUUCAAGCUUAUAUUACGUAUAAUAACAUACCUAACAUAUAUAUGUUUAGCAAAUUGAUAAUUUUGUAAUUAAAAGUGAUAUUUAUAGGGGAUUUUUCAUUUGUAAAAACAUUCUUAAAAAAUUAUCGUGUUACCAUGACAACUACUUAAAAUACUUCACGUUCGGAAAAUAAAAUGGUUUUGUCAGCAAGGCGAGGGUUUCUGCAUGCAUGUAUUUUCUAGUACUCUGUCUAAUGCCAAACGAUUUACUCAUCAAGGGGAGAGCUCUGGUGCGUAAUGGUUAACUGGCCUAUCUGCCCAUGUGUCUAGUUAAUCCAUUGAGUUGCAUUGCACCUAUGCGCCCUGCUUUAUUAUUUUACUAUGUCUACUGACAGACAAUAUACUCGUUAAGGGGAGAGCUCUGGCAUUUAAUAGGUACAGUAACUUAACUGGCCUUUCUGCCCAUAUGUCUAAUAAUCUAGUUAAUCCAUUCAGUUGAAUUGUGCCAAUGCGCCCUGCUUUAAGUAUUAUUUUACUGUGUCUAACGAUUUAGUCGUAUGACAUGUGGACAGUGACUGACUGAAACAGUACAGGUUUGACUGCAGUCACUGACAAGAAGAAAAUUCAGAUCUUACAAUGUAUAUUAAUUUUACUGUAUUAUAAACCAUAUCAUUUCUUUUAUUAGUCCAUGGUGACAGCAAAUGCUUUAACUGAGGUGGAUAGGCCCAAGAAUUUUCCGAAAUUAACUAAGAAUGCAAGAAAAAGAUCCAAUGUGAACUGGAGAAGCAGGAGAACUGUUAAGAGAACACAAACAUACAGUAUUUGUUUUUAAUAUUUUAGUAAUGAUAUUAUAUGCAUUUCUUAAUUUUAAUCUUUGGUCUUGUCCCUGCAUGGUGUUACUGGUAACCCACCCCUGAUUUUUUAUUUCUGUAUGCUUUUAGUUGAGUAAUGCAUAUACAGGGUGUAUCAAAAUAUGUCCCAAAUGGAUAAUUUCCUCGAAAUCACACAAAAUUUGGGAUGUUUUGCUAACCGAGA
rnacentral:lncRNA from 1 species